GAUGAACGCUGGCGGCGUGCCUAAUACAUGCAAGUCGAGCGAACGGACGAGAAGCUUGCUUCUCUGAUGUUAGCGGCGGACGGGUAAGUAACACGUGGAUAACCUACCUAUAAGACUGGGAUAACUUCGGGAAACCGGAGCUAAUACCGGAUAAUAUUUUGAACCGCAUGGUUCAAAAGUGAAAGACGGUCUUGCUGUCACUUAUAGAUGGAUCCGCGCUGCAUUAGCUAGUUGGUAAGGUAACGGCUUACCAAGGCAACGAUCCAUAGCCGACCUGAGAGGGGGGUCGGCCCCACGGGAACGGAGACAGGGCCAAGCCCCCAAGGGGAGGAAGAAGAGGGAAUUUUUCCACAAGGGGCAAAGCCCGAAGGGAGCAACGCGGGGGGAUGGAUAAAGUUCUUGGAAUGUAAAACCUGUUUUAUAGGGAAAAAACAUAUGUGUAAUUAACUGCGCACAUCUGGAGGGUACCUAAUCAGAAAGCCAGGGCUAACUCCGUC
rnacentral:rRNA from 1 species